rnacentral:misc_RNA from 1 species
GACGAAUCUGAAGCUAUUGUUGGUGACAAAUCUGUAGCUGUCGAUGACUAACGAAAGGGUGAAACAUGAUUUUGGGUUGAUGGUUGUUAGCAUGAUUUUUGUUGUUCAAUUUAUGCCUGUUUUUUUGGCAGCCUCAUGAGAAAAGGAUGUUUUCAAUUUCCCCACUUUUUUUGCUUUGUACCCCACCCACCCCACCUUAAAAUUUUAUUUCAAUGACCAAAGAAUUAUGAACUUUAUU